GCCUGGGUCGCUCAGUGGUUGAGCGUCUGCCUUUGGCUCCAGGCGUGAUCCUCUUAAAUUAAUGUGGGAUCAAGUCCCACAUCGGGCU
rnacentral:tRNA from 1 species